UUAGAGUUUGAUCCUGGCUCAGGAUGAACGCUAGCGGCAGGCUUAACACAUGCAAGUCGAGGGGCAGCGAGAUCAGUGCUUGCACUGAUUGUCGGCGACCGGCGCACGGGUGCGUAACGCGUAUGCAACCUACCCAUUACAGGGGGAUAACACUGAGAAAUCGGUACUAAUACCCCAUAACAUCCAGGGAGGCAUCUUCUUGGGUUGAAAACUCCGGUGGUAAUGGAUGGGCAUGCGUUGUAUUAGUUAGUUGGUGGGGUAACGGCUCACCAAGACAACGAUACAUAGGGGGACUGAGAGGUUAACCCCCCACAUUGGUACUGAGACACGGACCAAACUCCUACGGGAGGCAGCAGUGAGGAAUAUUGGUCAAUGGACGCAAGUCUGAACCAGCCAUGCCGCGUGCAGGAAGACGGCUCUAUGAGUUGUAAACUGCUUUUGUACGAGGGUAAACGCAGAUACGCGUAUCUGUCUGAAAGUAUCGUACGAAUAAGGAUCGGCUAACUCCGUGCCAGCAGCCGCGGUAAUACGGAGGAUUCAAGCGUUAUCCGGAUUUAUUGGGUUUAAAGGGUGCGUAGGCGGUCGGAUAAGUUAGAGGUGAAAUCCCGGGGCUCAACUUCGGAAUUGCCUCUGAUACUGUUCGGCUAGAGAGUAGUUGCGGUAGGCGGAAUGUAUGGUGUAGCGGUGAAAUGCUUAGAGAUCAUACAGAACACCGAUUGCGAAGGCAGCUUACCAAGCUACUUCUGACGUUGAGGCACGAAAGCGUGGGGAGCAAACAGGAUUAGAUACCCUGGUAGUCCACGCAGUAAAC
rnacentral:rRNA from 1 species